CGUCUGGAAAGUUUUUCGGUCAGGGAUGGGCUCGCGGCCUAUCAGCUUGUUGGUGGGGUAACGGCCUACCAAGGCGACGACGGGUAGCCGGCCUGAGAGGGCGACCGGCCACACUGGGACUGAGACACGGCCCAGACUCCUACGGGAGGCAGCAGUGGGGAAUAUUGCACAAUGGGCGCAAGCCUGAUGCAGCGACGCCGCGUGAGGGAUGACGGCCUUCGGGUUGUAAACCUCUUUCAGCAGGGAAGAAGCGCAAGUGACGGUACCUGCAGAAGAAGCGCCGGCUAACUACGUGCCAGCAGCCGCGGUAAUACGUAGGGCGCAAGCGUUGUCCGGAAUUAUUGGGCGUAAAGAGCUCGUAGGCGGUCUGUCGCGUCUGCUGUGAAAACCUCAGGCUCAACCUGGGGCUUGCAGUGGGUACGGGCAGACUAGAGUGCGGUAGGGGUGACUGGAAUUCCUGGUGUAGCGGUGGAAUGCGCAGAUAUCAGGAGGAACACCGAUGGCGAAGGCAGGUCACUGGGCCGCAACUGACGCUGAGGAGCGAAAGCAUGGGGAGCGAACAGGAUUAGAUACCCUGGUAGUCCAUGCCGUAAACGUUGGGCACUAGGUGUGGGGCUCAUUCCACGAGCUCUGUGCCGCAGCAAACGCAUUAAGUGCCCCGCCUGGGGAGUACGGCCGCAAGGCUAAAACUCAAAGAAAUUGACGGGGGCCCGCACAAGCGGCGGAGCAUGCGGAUUAAUUCGAUGCAACGCGAAGAACCUUACCAAGGCUUGACAUACACCGGACAAGUGCAGAGAUGUGCUCCCCGUAAGGUCGGUGUACAGGUGGUGCAUGGUUGUCGUCAGCUCGUGUCGUGAGAUGUUGGGUUAAGUCCCGCAACGAGCGCAACCCUCGUCCCAUGUUGCCAGCGGGUUAUGCCGGGGACUCAUGGGAGACUGCCGGGGUCAACUCGGAGGAAGGUGGGGAUGACGUCAAAUCAUCAUGCCCCUUAUGUCUUGGGCUUCACGCAUGCUACAAUGGCCGGUACAAAGGGCUGCGAUACCGCGAGGUGGAGCGAAUCCCAAAAAGCCGGUCUCAGUUCGGAUUGGGGUCUGCAACUCGACCCCAUGAAGUCGGAGUCGCUAGUAAUCGCAGAUCAGCAACGCUGCGGUGAAUACGUUCCCGGGCCUUGUACACACCGCCCGUCAAGUCACGAAAGUCGGUAACACCCGAAGCCGGUGGCCCAACCCUUGUGGGGGGAGCCGUCGAAGGUGGGACUGGCGAUUGGGACUAAGUCGUAACAAGGUAGCCGUACCGGAAGGUGCGGCUGGAUCACCUCCUUU
rnacentral:rRNA from 1 species